GACGGACCAUCCAAACGUUAUUCGGAAUUACUGGGCUUAAAGGGUGCGUAGGCGGCGCGGAAAGUUGGGUGUGAAAUCCCUCGGCUUAACCGAGGAACGGCGCUCAAAACUACCGUGCUUGAGGAAGACAGAGGUGAGCGGAACUUAGGGUGGAGCGGUGAAAUGCGUUGAUAUCCUAAGGAACACCGGUGGCGAAAGCGGCUCACUGGGUCUUUUCUGACGCUGAGGCACGAAAGCCAGGGUAGCGAACGGG
rnacentral:rRNA from 1 species